AUACGGGGGGAGCGAGCGUUGUUCGGAUUUAUUGGGCGUAAAGGGCGUACAGGCGGUAAUGUAAGUCAGAUGUGAAAUGCUUCGGCUCAACCGAGGAUCUGCAUUUGAUACUGCAUUACUUGAGUACAGGAGAGGAGAGCGGAAUUCUAGGUGUAGCGGUGGAAUGUGUAGAUAUCUGGAAGAACACCAGUGGCGAAGGCGGCUCUCUGGCCUGAUACUGACGCUGACGCGCGAAAGCUAGGGGAGCAAACAGGAUUAGAUACCCCAGUAGUCC
rnacentral:rRNA from 1 species